rnacentral:sRNA from 1 species
GUAUCUCUCUGUACGGGAAGGAUGAGAAGCCUCGACUAAGGUUCGAUUCGAGCGCAGCGAGAAAGCGUUGCCGUAGGCAACGACCCGAAGGGCGAAGCGCGCAGCGCUGAGUCAUCCUUCCCCCACCACCA